rnacentral:rRNA from 1 species
GAUUAACGCUAGCGGCAGGCCUAAUACAUGCAAGUCGAGGGGUAACAGGGUAGCAAUACCGCUGACGACCGGCGCACGGGUGCGUAACACGUAUGCAAUCUACCUAUAACCGGGGAAUAACUCGCCGAAUGGCGAAUUAAUACCGCAUAACACUUCGAGGUGGCAUCACCAUGAAGUUAAACCUCCGGGGGUUAUAGAUGAGCAUGCGUCCGAUUAGAUAGUUGGCGGGGUAACGGCCCACCAAGUCUACGAUCGGUAGGGGUUCUGAGAGGAAGAUCCCCCACACUGGUACUGAGACACGGACCAGACUCCUACGGGAGGCAGCAGUAAGGAAUAUUGGACAAUGGGCGCAAGCCUGAUCCAGCCAUGCCGCGUGCAGGAUGAAGGAGCUCAGCUCUGUAAACUGCUUUUGUUUGGGAAAAAACCCCUGGUUUCUACCGGGGCUGAUUGUACCAAAAGAAUAA